GCACGUUCUCCACGCCUCAUCUCACCAGAUCUCAGAAGAUAAACAGGGCUGGGUCUGGUUAGAACUUUGAUGGAAGACCACUGGGCAUACCAGGU
rnacentral:rRNA from 1 species